rnacentral:rRNA from 1 species
CCUACGGGCGGCAGCAGUGGGGAAUAUUGGACAAUGGGCGAAAGCCUGAUCCAGCCAUGCCGCGUGUGUGAAGAAGGCCUUCGGGUUGUAAAGCACUUUCAGUGGGGAAGAAAGCCUUGGGGCUAAUACCCUCGAGGAAGGACAUCACCCACAGAAGAAGCACCGGCUAACUCCGUGCCAGCAGCCGCGGGUAAUACGGAGGGUGCGAGCGUUAAUCGGAAUUACUGGGCGUAAAGCGCGCGUAGGCGGUCUGAUAAGCCGGUUGUGAAAGCCCCGGGCUCAACCUGGGAACGGCAUCCGGAACUGUCAGGCUAGAGUGCAGGAGAGGAAGGUAGAAUUCCCGGUGUAGCGGUGAAAUGCGUAGAGAUCGGGAGGAAUACCAGUGGCGAAGGCGGCCUUCUGGACUGACACUGACGCUGAGGUGCGAAAGCGUGGGUAGCAAACAGGAUUAGAUACCCCAGUAGUC